AUGGGCGCGAAUGGCGCGCUGGAGGGGGAGGAGGAGAGGCCGCGGGCCGACGGGGAGGAGGAGGAGGAGGGCGGGGCGACGGUGUUCCGGGGCACCAACUACUCGCUGCCGCGGACGAUCGCGGCGCUGGCGCUGUGGCUCGGGGGAAUCCACUUCAACGUCAUCCUCAUCCUCGCCUCGCUCUUCCUCUUCCCGCUCCGCCUCGCCGCCCUGGUGGUGGCGUUGCAGCUCGUCUUCAUGUUCACCCCCCUCAACGACGAGGACAAAUUGGGCCGCAAAAUCGGCAGGUUCAUCUGCAAGUAUGCCAUGGGCUACUUCCCGAUUAGCUUGCAUGUGGAGGACUACAACGCCUUCGAUUCCAGCAGGGCUUAUGUGUUUGGCUAUGAACCGCAUUCUGUGCUGCCGAUCGGCGUGGCGGCUCUGGCGAAUCAUGUCGGGUUCAUGCCUCUGCCUAAGCUCAAAGUCCUUGCGAGCAGUGCGGUGUUCCACACCCCAUUCCUGAGGCAGAUAUGGACAUGGAUAGGACUGAUUGCUGCAACCAGGAAGAAUUUCUACUCCUACCUUGCAGCUGGUUACAGUUGCGUCGUGGUGCCUGGAGGUAUACAGGAGAUUCUUCACAUGGAUCAUGAUUCCGAGGUUGCUUUCCUUAAUUCAAGAAAAGGGUUUGUCAAGAUAGCUAUGCAGGCUGGCUGCCCUUUAGUCCCUGUUUUCUGCUUCGGACAGAGCAAAGCUUACAGGUGGUGGAGGCCAGGAGGCAAAUUGUUUGUGAACAUUGCUAGAGCACUUAAAUUUACUCCCAUCAUCUUCUGGGGAAGAUACGGGACACCGAUCGCCUUCUCGUCACCUAUGCAUGUGGUUGUUGGUAGACCCAUUGAGCUGAAGAAAAAUCCUCUGCCUACCAUUGAUGAGAUAAACGAAGUGCACGGGCAAUUCGUCGGCGCGUUGCAAGAACUGUUUGAGAAGUACAAGACGAAAGCCGGAUAUCCUGGCCUCCAUCUGAGAGUCCUAUAA
rnacentral:rRNA from 1 species